rnacentral:piRNA from 1 species
CACAUGUGCUGUUCAUGAAGUGAGCCUUAUG